AAUAUUGGACAAUGGGGGCAACCCUGAUCCAGCCAUGCCGCGUGUGUGAAGAAGGUCUUCGGUUUGUAAAGCACUUUAAGUGGGGAGGAAGGGCUUUAGGUUAAUACCUUGAAUUUUGUACGUUCCCAACCGAAAAAGCACCGGCUAACUCGGUGCCAGCAGCCGCGGUAAUACAGAGGGUGCAAGCGUUAAUCGGAAUUACUGGGCGUAAAGCGCGCGUAGGUGGUUCAGUAAGAUGGGUGUGAAAUCCCCGGGCUUAACCUGGGAACUGCUUUCAUAACUGCUGAGCUAGAGUACGGUAGAGGGUAGUGGAAUUUCCUGUGUAGCGGUGAAAUGCGUAGAUAUAGGAAGGAACACCAGUGGCGAAGGCGACUACCUGAACUGAUACUGACACUGAGGUGCGAAAGCGUGGGGAGCAAAC
rnacentral:rRNA from 1 species